UGGGGAAUAUUGGACAAUGGGCGCAAGCCUGAUCCAGCCAUGCCGCGUGAGUGAUGAAGGCCCUAGGGUUGUAAAGCUCUUUCACCGGUGAAGAUAAUGACGGUAACCGGAGAAGAAGCCCCGGCUAACUUCGUGCCAGCAGCCGCGGUAAUACGAAGGGGGCUAGCGUUGUUCGGAUUUACUGGGCGUAAAGCGCACGUAGGCGGACUUUUAAGUCAGGGGUGAAAUCCCGGGGCUCAACCCCGGAACUGCCUUUGAUACUGGAAGUCUUGAGUAUGGUAGAGGUGAGUGGAAUUCCGAGUGUAGAGGUGAAAUUCGUAGAUAUUCGGAGGAACACCAGUGGCGAAGGCGGCUCACUGAACCAUUACUGACGCUGAGGUGCGAAAGCGUGAGGAGCAAACAGG
rnacentral:rRNA from 1 species